rnacentral:lncRNA from 1 species
GGGGCAGUAAGCACCGUGCCCAGCUGCCUUAUAGGAAGUAAAGGUAAGUGAACAUGUUUGUCUUGCAGGCAGGGCCCCAAAGUUCCCAUCCCAGGCUCCCACAUGUCCCUGCCAUCAGUGGUACAGAGCCUCAGCCCUGAGCUCUGAAGCCCCAAUAAAGCAGCAGGUGCUCUGUCCCCGCAGGGGGAGCUGUAAAUAUAACAGUAAAUUAUUAAUUUUGGAGGAAACUUCCUCCCCCCCUCCUGGGACUCUGGGGCUGAUAAUUAUUGUCAGUGCAGCUGGAAAAAAAAUACACCCUUUCUGUGCCUGUUUCUGCCUCUCCAAAAAGACACUGUGAGCUCAGGAUAAAGCAGAAGCAAGCAGCCCACACUGCUGUAUUCCUGCAGCAAUUGCCUGUUUACCUGUGCAGUAAUCUUUGGGAGCAGCACUGUGUAGGCAGGCAGGGCUCAGUCACAUCUGCAGGCACUGAAUUAUCAGAGCUAUCACUUAUCAUGGGGCUAUAGGACACCUGGGUGGGACAGGUCAAAAAAAAACCCCUAAGUGUAUUUCCUUACACUAUCAGCUGUGCCUCUUCCUACUCCAUCCUACUUCCACCCCUUCCCAUUGCCACAUAGCCCAAGUGUUUGUUCCUUAAAGUGACUUCCUUCAGUAUGCAUACAGCCAGCAUGGCUCAUGGAUUUGAUGAUCCCGAUUUGCAGUGAUAGAAAGCUCUAAAUGCUCUCUACACAACCCCUGGGAGCCCUUGGGGGGGGGGGAGGGUCUGGAGAGAACCCCAGGGCCCACAGGUGGUUGGAUGGGCACACAGGAGGUCCUCGUGCAAAGAGCUCAUCCUUCCACUUGGUCAGCUGCUCCAGCAGGAGCUGAAAUUGACCCCUGUGUUAUUUAAAGCAGAUUUUAAUGCGGGCUUUUUAUUACCUAAGCCAGUUUCACUGGCUUCCACGUGACCACAGAACAUCACCAAAAAACACGGGUCAAAAAAAACCUGCAAAAAGUCCAAGCAGCUUCAGUGCUGUGCUUCACCACAACAGUCCUUGGGCCUGGGGCCGGGCCCCAUCUCCUGCCCCCAGAGCUUACCGCCUCCUGGAGAACCAGCCAGGGGGGCUGCAGGGUCCGGGGGGGGGCUCAGUCGUCAUCGGAGAAGGCCAAAUCUUCCACCACAUCCUCCUCGCCCUGGGCCAGCUGCUCGAGGUCGGAGCGCGACAGCACCUGGGAGCUGCUCCUCUGUGCCCGCUGUGAGCCCCGCGGGGCUGCCUUGCCUUCCUCAUCUGAGUCACUGUCUUCCUCUAAAUCUUCCUCGUCCUCCUCGACUUCGUACUCUCCCUCUUCAUCCUCAUCAUCUUCACCAUAGUCCUCCUUGCUGCUGGCUUCUGAGCUGUCGUCUGAUGCCACCUUGCCUUUGGCUUUACCUUUUAUGGGGAAUCCAACGUUCUCCUCAUCAGAGUCGGUGUCCAGCUCAAACAGGUCCUUGAAUUCCUUCUUAUCUUCCUCCUUCCUUUCAUCUGGUUUCUUGCGUUUAAUUUCUGGGAAGUUCAAGUCUUCAAGUCUUUCUUUGCCAGUGAUUUCCAGUUGUAUCUCCUUCUCUCUUAGCUUCUUCCACUGAGCAUAGUACUUGGUCAGAGGCGUCCCCUCCUCUUUGACUUGCUUCUCCCAUUGUUCCACAGACUCCCUGCUGGCCACACCGAAGGUAGCUUUCUGACGCCUGCUGGCGAUGUAGGCAGAAUUUUCCUGCAGCUUCUCCAGGAGCUGCCGGAUGGGCUUGCAGUAGUUGGCAAUCUUGCAUUCCUUCAGGAAAGAUUUGAGCUGAAUGACAGUGGGGAGGACCAGCUCUGGGAAUCCAAUGCUG